UGGACCGUGGGUAGCCCGCCUAGAGGCCCAUAUAAAGGAAGGCGAAACGGGUGCAAGUCGGAGAGAAAAGCGAAGGGCAGAGUCCCUGACCUUUGCCUUCCCCCCCCUCCACCACCACCAUCGCCCUGCUACGAGACACUCUGAGGCCUCCGGGAGCUGAUACUGCCCGCCUGAGGAGAACCCCCCUGGUCCUGCACCCCGGACCGGAGUCACGGGUGAGUUGUAGAUCCCCUACCCGUGCUGAGAGCACCGUGAGUGGGCCAAGGCUCGGCUGCAGCGAGCGGGCACCGCGCCUGACACUCGGAGGACGGGCGGCCGCAUUGCAGCCAAAGUGCUCCCGAGAUCGGAGAAGGCAGAUCAGACGCUUCAAACGGCUUCGCUCCCCCCACCCCAUCUCGGCGGCACUAAAGUUCCAGGGCCCUAUUUUCAGAAGCCAGCAGGACUGGAUUUAUUAGACCCUGCUGCACACAGAAUGUCCUGAGUUGGAUUCCCUUUGGAUGAAGAUUCACUGGGAGGUAACUCUUGUGGCCACAUCAGUGUAUGCACAGGGUUUUUUUUCAUGAGCUGAAAAAGUGGGCAGCCUUUUUAUAUUAUUGUACUGAGAGAAGGAUCAAAAAGAAAGCAGUAGAUAAAUUUCAGAAGCAGUCACCAACCCAGCUGAACUGUCACUUCAGCUCUGUACUUCAGGGGAGGGCUGCAAACAUGAGGUGGUUGCCAGUCUGAGUGGAAGAGGAGCCAGUGGGAAUUGGAGUGUCAGCACUCACAGGAUCAUCCUGCAUUUGCUUCCCCUCAUGGCCAGUAAAGUACUGUGUGAGUACCAUAAACUCUUUCCUUGCAAGUUUCUGGUUUUGGAAGGAAGCUUUGAGCCUUUUGAACCAGGAGAGAUGUGGGUGUUCAAAUACAAUAUCUGAAGAGAUUCAGCAUAUGCUGUCUGUUCCUUUAGGAAAAUCUCCUACCUCAGCAGUGUCUGUUAAUGUGCUUGUUGGAGUUGGAUUUGUUCCUGGUGAGACUGAGUUCACCCCAGUCCAAAUCUGGGUUCUCCUUCUGCCAGAUCAAACAGGAUCAAAUUUUUGAUUCUUUACAGCUGAAGUGAACGACAUCUUCCAUUGUGAUGUUUGGAUGCCAGAGGACAGUGUCAGCACAAGAACACGACCGACCUUUUAUUCCUUUGCUAGGUGUGGGAUGUGGAAAUGUCUAUUUCAGUAAGAUUAUUUUAUUGAGGACCUUGUCAGAUGGGAUAAUAAGGAAAAACAGGAAUACUUUUAGUUGUUUUUGCUGAGCAAUACUAUAACAUCUGAAAUUAGACUUGAAAAACAUUAGACUGUAGGCCACGUGGAAGAAAACUGAUUGAAAUCAGCUCACAGGAGGAGAGGUUUCAUUCCAUAUGUGUUCAUUCCAACACGACGAUGUGAUUCAGCAGGUGACUAGAGCUGUAUGGAAGAUAAGAGUAGGUAGUCAGAAAUAUGAAGGAAUCCAGAAAAAAACCAGCAACUGAAGCAAAACUGAACAUAAAAGGGGGUGGGGAUGUUGAGGAGACAGAGAAAAAAGGGGUAUUUGAGAGUCUGAAUUAUUAAUAAUAAAAAUGUUAUGAUUCUAAGACUUCAGUGCUUUAUUAAAUUUAACAGAUGAACAUUAGGGAAAAGGCUAAGCCUUCAGGAAUCAGGAGGAACUUGCGUAGCAGAGAAUUUCACAACUUCUUUAUCACAGACUGGAUAAGAAGGAUUAUCUUUGCUGCAAUAAGUUUAUUUUUCAUUUCUGACUCCUAAAUUUCUUAAAGGAAAAUCAGAAUAAAAACAAUUCUGGAACAACUGUUGCCAGCCUGAAUAAGACUUACUGGAUAAGCAAAGUAGAUGUUGUUUAGUCACCAUGUAGUAAAAGGAACCUUCCUCUUACCAGCUAUGCAAAAGAUUUUCUCUGUGCCAGGUGAACUGGACUCAUUAACAGGCAGAAAAAAUAUAAGACUUCUGAAAAUGCUUAAUUGAAAGUGCAAUAGUAGACUUUAGUUUACCUAUUUUUCCAGAAAGCUUUAUGUAUGCAUAUUAUGUGUUAAGAAGACAAAACAAGAAAAUACACUAGAAAAGAUACAUUUGCAUUUUAACUCCCUAAAGGCACUAAUUUAGACCACAGUAGGGUGGUUUCGUACCUGAUUUAGUCAUGGAACUAGUUUACUCUGCUGUUGACUACAUGAUGCUGUAAUUACUCUUCACCUCACUUCUCUUUGAUCUACAUAAGAUAUGUGCAUUGUUUAUGAACUAUUUUUCUAACAUAUGGUUAUAAUUAUUUUCUGUAUUUAAGUCAGUGUAUUUUUUAUCAUUAAUAAAAUUGAGAAAUAUAUUGAUGACCGAAGCCUCUAAAAACGUGCUAGAAUUAAGGGUCUUAUUUCAUGGAUGAAUAAUGAAGAAUUAUCUAUUGUGGUCAUGAUUCCAAAUUUAAUCAUUGUCUAUACCUGAAAUACGGUAUUAACAGGACAAUUAAUGCAAGUACUCAAUUUCAUCACAUACUAGAAAAGUCACCAUAAACUUAUUUCAAAUUCUUAGAGUCUCUGAGUUUUUCUACCUUAGAUAACGGAUCUGGUCAGCUUAGAUGUUUUCCUACUAAUUUUUCUUAGAUGUUUUCCUAUUAAUUUUGGUAUAACUCCACUCCCUGAGAUGCUUUCCAGAUAAAGAAUCCUAGCUGAAAGUCAUCAGAGACUUGGGCCUGACUUUUACCCAGGAAGGCAUUGUUCUGUGAAAGCAGAUGAUCAUUGUCAUUUGUACUCAUCCCCUGCUACCUUUUCUAAAGAAACUAUGAAAGCAUCAGGAUCAGACUCUCACUUGGUAAUGCCAGACAAAGUGCUUUUCUGGUUUCAGUCUAAUUAACCAAUCACUGAAUUUCAGAGAAUGGGAAGAAUCUCCUGAUGAACAGAAAUUAUGAAGGACUGCAGCAUCCCUUUCCCACUGCCAGUCUACAUAAGGUAGUGAAAAAACUGCAGAUAUCUGUACCUGUGUGAGGCCAGAUGUAAGGUUUUUAUAUUAUGCAAUCCAUCCACGAAAACUGGUGGGCUUCCAUUUGGUGAACUCCUUGAUGGUCAAGAUUUCUUCUUCUAUGUUGCCUUUAACUCUUCUGCUGUUUGUCAUUCAGCUACACUGUAAAAUAAUGAGACAAUAUUAUAGGUGAGCAAUACGAAAAAAGCAAAAUGAUCCAAAUUCAUGAAAUUCCCUUUAUAUUGGCAAAGAUCUGAGGAUGCAGAUAGCAAGAAAGAGUGAUCACCAGAGAUGAGAAAUGGUUGAGGCGUUCCUUCAAAUAAGAUAGAAAAUGUCUCUAACUAUGUAAGGUCUCCUUCUCAGGAGUCUGGCAAAGGAUGAUAAAAGAAAUUUCCAGCAAAGACAGUGGACUUUGUCAUAUUUGAUUGUAAAAAUGUAGGACGACUUGCAUUAUUACUUCACUAUCCCUGAAAAUUAGUUUUUUUACUUGGCUGUGUAAAGUCAUUUUGGUAGAAGAUGAGGUUGCUGCUUCAGUGCUCAAGCUGUGGUCCAUAAGAAGAGAAAGAGAUGUACAAUGAUGUUACACAGAAGAAAAACAGUGCUUGACAUUAUUUUUCUAUUUGUAGCUGAAGCAUAUUCUAGUACAUAGUAAAUGAUUGUCUUAGAUGUAAUUCAUAAUAUUGUCAUUGAUUCUAACUUUUACCUGUUUAUUGUUAUUUCUCAACUUCAUUUAUACUGUUGCUAUUACUGUUUUCUUUCUCACAUGCUGUAUCUUUUGAUAAAUGAGAGGACAGGCUUCUUGGGGCACUAGCCAUAUUUUUCUGAAUGCUCUCUGUGAUGAAGUAAGUCCUGCUUUGGUCUCAAUCAAAUAUUGCUCACACUCUAAAGAGAAAAAAAGUGGCUUCAAAAUGAAUUGUGACCCCUGAAAGAGCUGGAAGUAAAGGUCUCAUCCUGCAUUUGUUGCAGAUGUUUCACUGUCUAUUUAUUUUGUGUCUAAAAAUGGUGUAUGGGGGAACUCAUUUCAGUCAAAAUAAAAGGAAUUUAAUGUCUUCCAUUCUGUUUGUAAUGAGGCAUCCAAAGGCUUAAAAUCUCACCAUUUGAAUCAAGUUAGCUAUUCCUUAUUUAUUUACCUCUACCAUCAUUAAUACCAAUAUCUGAUUUUAUACUCUUUAAACAAAUGAGAAAAGCCUCCCUGGUUUAGACCUAAUACAUGCCCCCAGUGCAAAAUGUACUUGUCUGUCCUCCUGCUUUUUUCCUUCGCUGGAAACACCAGAUUGUAUUUACUCAGCUGAGUCUCUUAUGCCAAUAAACAGCAGUCAUGCUGACACCGCACCACAGGUCACCAGGGAUCCAGUUUCUUGAAUGUAUUUAAAUAUUCUGUUGCCUGAUCAAAAUACUGAUGUUGUCAAAAUUGAAAUAUGGAUGUGCAUGUUCUGCAGCUCUUGGUUAUCAUGGGAUGUUUCACAUGAAAUGAAAAGCAGAGCAGAGUUAGUCAUGUGAGAAUCUCUCCUGCUUUCUCUCUAUGCCUCACUGCUUCUUGUCUCCAUCUAUGAAAGCUAUACAUAGCCUUUGAACACCCAGAGAAGUGUGCUCAAAUAAUAAAAGAUAAACUCUAAAAUUAAUAUAUGGAAACAAUCAGCAAGUAUGAAAACUUAAUUUCAUUAAGCGUAGAUUUAGAUAUGAUAUGUUGGAUUUUUAAAAAAUUUUUACAUAUAGACAAAUACCGAUUUUUUUUUUUUUUUUUUUUUAAUAGAGGAAGUAUAAAAGGCAUUAAAAUUAGGCAUCUAUUAGAAUGCUGUAAGGCACAGUAUAAAAAAAAUCUACAUGUCAUUACAAAAAAAAAUCCACUCAACGCUUAUCUUUACUUAAUUUGUCUAUAAUGCCAAACAUGCUAGAGAACUGAGUAGAUGAGAAAUUGUCAAGGCUUGAGGUUAUAGAAAAAAUAGGGGGCAUGAAAAUUUAGGAAAUACUUUUGGCAGGAGAUGUAGAAUGAUUUUUAAAAGAAGGAAAAGAUAGUUCUACUAAAAAAAAGGAAAAGAGGGGAUCUACUCAAAGGUUGUAUUUGACCAAUAAUUUAAAAUUGUUUGGUUUGUUUGCAUGUUGUAAUGCUAUUUAUAUGCAAUUCAGGAUCUGCAAGAAGAGGACUUUGAGAUAAAGAGCUAAGUUUCACUUUGAAAAUAAUGAAAGCGAAUACUCAAAAAUGUGUUUGAAAGUGUAAAAUGGAUACUUGAUAUUUCAUAUUUUCCAUGUCCCUUUUUAAACUGUGACAUCCUGUAUCUGUGACAUGACAUACACCAGUUGAAGCUUAUCCAGGAGUUUCCAUACUUUAAUUUUAGAUACCAAGAAAUGAAUUAAUUUUUUCCUCUACUUCAUGAGUUGAAUGAAAUUAAAAACCAGUUAUGCAGCUUCUGAAAUUAGUAGGGGUAGACACACUUGCUUUCACACAGAGAGUCAUAAUGAAAAGCAAAGAAAUUUCAUAUUGUGAAUGAGAUUCAACCUGUUACAUUUAAUUGAAAUAUAUUUCAAUGGCAUAGCUAGCAAAAUUUUCAAACAGUGCCAGUUCAGUUUCAUACUAUUGACUAUUUAUAGCCAUCAUCACAAAUUAAUUUAAUAUUUUCUGACAAAUAAUGAUGGAUAAAGUUUUACAUAUACUUUAGAAGAAAUAUAUAAUUUUUAAGUAAAUGUGGAGGAUUUAAUGUGAAAUACUAAAUAUCAGGGCUAAAUAAAAUGGUAUGGUUUUGCUUGAUUACACUGUAAAGCUCAGUGGUUUGUUGGUAUUGUAUCCUUUCGUUUUUCAUGUUUGGGUUUUUUUUUUAAUUUUCAAUUUAUUGGCCUAAUAGCUUCCCUUAGUACCUAGCAGAGUCUGUACAAAGUUCUAGAGCAUAAACUGAACAUCAUUAUUUUCUCCUCAUGUAUCAUACCAAAUAUUACAUUUCACACUCCUAUUUCUCCAUAUGCAGCCCAUGGUAAUGAAGUCUGAUCCUGACAAGCUAUUUCCUGUGAAUUCCUUUGUUUUUCAAAAGCAGAGGUUAUAGAUUACCUGUUAAUAAGUAGAAACCUCUGUGAUAAAUGUUAUUAAAUACUAUGAAAUAUAAAAUCAAGAAGGGUGAGGCUGAAGAAAAUACUCCAAAGAGGUAUCUUACUGUGAUUCGAAUGUGGUAUGAAGGAAACUCCUGAUAACAAAGUGCAGCUAUGUCAGCUUUAUAGAUUUUUAUGUUAAGAUCUUCUUUGCUUAUUUUAUGUACUUAAUUUUCUUUGUGUUUUCUGAGUUCCAGAGAUGAGCCUAUAGAAUGCUCUUUUAUUCACAUUAUCCAAAAAUAUUAUAGGAGCAAAUGUGAUCAAAUUGCCAGUACUAGAAAUUCACAUCAUACAUGUACGAAAUUUGAUUAUGUGACUCCACCACAUCUUUCUGUUUGUCACUGACUCGCCUUUUAUCCAAUAACUAUCUAAAAUACCUUGCCUAUAAGGAAGCUUAUAAAGCAGUAUAUGACCAUGGCUUCUGCAGGUUUCAUGAAAAGAAUAAUUGUAUAUUCCUCUUUCAUUUAAAUAAAUAAUUAAUAAUACAUUUCUGGGUAUUUUGUAACUUAAAUAAUCACUAUAAAUUCAAA